CCCGCUGCCGGCGCCCUGCAGCCUCGGGCCGGUCCCGAAGCCGAGCCGUUCGGGAAGGCCGCGUCUCCGGCUAAGGCUGCCGGCAGGCCUUGCGGCUGCUGCGGGCGGCGGGCCCGGCGUGCUCCCGUGUGGCGCACCGCCUGUGCGGGGCCCGGGGCGCCUCGCUGUCUCUGGGGACGCGCGAGGCCUCUUAGUUAAGUCUUAGGAAAGCAAACUUCCUUUAAGCCGCCGUUCGCUAAUUCGGCGCUCGGUCGCUUCUCCGCGCCAUCCGGAGUGCCCGGGCGCCGCCCGGCCCGCACCUACCGCGUCCCACACCACGGCCGCCACGCCGCGCCGCUCCCAGUCCUGCCGGAUGCGGACGGUGCGCCCCGCGAAGCGGGUGAGAGCUUGGCCCAGCAAUGAAGUUGGAAGCAAUGUAACCCGGUUCCGCCUUUAAAUGCUGCAGAAGGCAAUAUGGACAUCUGAGCUGCAGAUAAACUUGCAAGACACUGCAUGUACCAAAUGGGUCAUGGAGACACGCACAACGUGGGGAAAAUGCAGCAUCCAUCUCACAGUCUGUGGUUGCCACGGCAAAGACAGUUACAGAAUAAAGCCUGAUCGAUCCGGACCAUCUCUGAAACCAACAGGAUGAAUUAAAAAUGAAAACCUAAGUUUCUGCAGAAGCUAACAGGUUAUCUGUAGGCAUUCUAACUUGCUGGUUCUGCAAGAAGUGUUACAUAAGAAAAUAAUGUAUGGCGUGAGCUACUGUGCUGCUUUCUUUAUACAAACACAGUUAUGUUAAGCAAUGGAAGUAAUGAGAAAAAUCCUGAAGAUGCAUAAUUUCAGAAGCGCAGGGGCUGCAUUGCAGGAAGUUUUGGUGCCUCUGAGGAAGGAAUAGUUCCCAUCAGCACUAUUACAUUCACUCCAUAAACCUCACAUCUUGAUCAACUGUCAGAUGUAAUCACCACGCUUAUUACAAUCUCUUGUUACAGAAAAAUCACGUCACUUUUGGUAGAGUUACUUGACUGAUCUCUCAAAGGCCACGCAGUCCCGAAAGCUGGCCUUAUUCUGAUAUUUUAAUUAACCAACAAAAAGCAAAAGGAGCCACCUCUUCUCCCCAUAAGCAACAAUGGCACUUCGGUUACUGGAAACCUCCGGCUCUUGCUAAUGCACUUUGCAGAUCGGACCUACAGGCUCACAUUGGUGUGCCAACAGCUGGGCACUGGGCCGUGCUGGCCCCCUGAUGGGGAGCAGGUGGUGCUGUGCUGCAGGGCUGCAGGGCUGCGGGAGGUGGGUUGCAGUGCAGGUUCUGGUGCCCUCCUGCAGCUCUGGUGUGCGGGGUGCCUGGCUGGGGGCUGCAGAGCGCCUGGCUCGGGUGUCUGCCUGUGGGACGCUGCUGUGCUGGGAACUGUGCUGCAAAAACACCCUUUGGUGGAGGUUGAAUGUAGAUCCAGAGGGUUAAUUAUAAGCGCUCGCAUUUCUGAUGUGUUCUGUAGGUGCAGAGUUGUGUAAUUGGAGGGAAAAUUACAGUGCAAGCCGUGCACUGUAUUAAUUUACAACUAGUUAACAACAACUAAGGGCAGUUUGAAAACAGUUGUAUAGGCGAGCAGACAGCAGCUCGAGCAUGCAGGUAGAUGCAUCAGGUUCCCCUUUUUAACCAAGUAGAAACCAGGAAAAAUGUUUUUUUGUUGGUUUAUUUAUUUAUUCAUUUAUUUGAGAUGGUAUUAGGAAGCUUUUCUCCACUCUUUAGAAACAAAUCCCUUCAGACAAAGGAGAAGAAGCACCAGGCACAUGUAGGCAAUUUCUGGUGCCUCAGACCUCGCAAGAGGGGCUCCUCAGGGCCUCCUUCCAGGCUUUGCAUGGCCCACGCUGGAAUUAAGCCUUUAUAAGUUUUCUUUCAACAAACCUACAGCGGGGCUUACUCAUGCAGUUUGCUGUUUCUGAAUGAAGUCACGCAUACCACGUUCAUGUUUGUGUUAAAAUACUGGAAAGCGUUUCCCUUUUCCUUAUAGGAAAACUGCAUACAUGACCUGCAGUACAGCUAUUUCCAACGCUCGGCUCCUCGGGAAGAGGAGCUGUGCCAACUCUGCCCAGCAGCACAGAGCACAGCCUCCUUGAUUUCAGCACAUCCGAGAUCCUCUCCUCAGGGAUCAGGUGUCCAUAACUCCACGGCUGCAGUUCAUUCUCUUGAGCCUCCGAUACCUGCAAAAGCUGCUUUUAUGUUUCCUUAGGACAAAAUGAAGGCGGGAUCCAAAAAAAAAGACUCCGAGGUCAAAAAAACACUCACUGCCAUAUGUUUGUGCUGUUGGCAUCACCGCAGUGAUCCAGGUGCUCGUGUGCUGAGAACCUCUGCACUGCCUGCGCUGACAUCCUGGAUUGCUGCAGAGACACAGGUACAGGUGGGAUCAGUGACACCAGUGCUGCAGUCUGUGUGCAGUGAGGCACAGCUCCCAGCCCUGCUGGCACUGCUCACCGCUCGCCAAUAGCACAGGAGGUGAUCUGAAAACUGAGAAUGUUUAGGGCUACUAAACCUCACCCUGUGACCCUGUGUGUUGUGAACGACCUCACUGGUUUCUUUUUACUCACGUCCUAGCGGAGGCAUGGGAUCUGUUUCCCUCAGUACUGUUUUGUUUCAGUUUUUUUCCCUUAAAUGGCCACAGCCUUGUUACUGCUGAGCCUCAGAAGACAAUCAUGCCUGCAGUGUUUUCAUCCUGUCAGCUGGUGCUGGAUUUCAAAACAGGAUGCCCACUUUUCCCCCCAUUAUUCACAGCAGUGAGAUGCAGAAUCCUGAGCUUUUGUUUUCAGUUGGUUACACGGGUCCAACCUGUGAUUCACUCUUCCUGCAGCCACGUUUCCAGGAAAAGACAAUGCCGUGGCUCCUCUCCAAGUCACCCGCAGGCUGCCGGAGGCUCAGGCAGGAGAGCGCUCCUGUGCCUGCAGCCGGGACACUUUCUAAGAAGGGCUGAAGGGACGAGGCCUCAGGCCAGGGCUGCCGUUAUCUCCCAGCAAACAACCAAGGAGGCACACGGCCUUGGGAAAGCACAUGAGGCACAGAGUCAAGGUGCAGAUAAGAGCAGAAUGUACAGGAUUUAAAAUUCUUGCCCCUGUGAAGCACAACAAGCAUCUGCAAAGAGCUGGUCUCUGCUCCUGGCACUGAGGCUGGCUGCCAAGCUGAUGGCUUAAGGACCUGCACUGUCCUUCCAGACAUUCAGGGAGACUCCUGGCUGCUCCAUGCCGUUGGUGUGGGCUAUAAUGCCUACAGAUAUUGGAGGUUCCCAAGAGUUGUUCAGACAGCAGCUGGUAGUGAUGGCUUCUGGCUCCGCAAUCAGGGAUAAAGCUUCUCAUGGCUCUGUAUGGUGGAGCCUGGGCUGGAGAGCUGUGUGGCUGUGCGCUCCAGCACUUGGCUUCUGCAGGAGUCAAACACAAAUGCGAGUGGAUCUGCUGGCACGGAACCGCUGUGGGGAAGGCCUGGGCUGGGCAGCGCUCGUCUGCAAACAGUGCCAGCAGGCAGCGACUCAUGUGUGUGGGGCAAACAGGCCAAGUGCAGAGCAGAACCACCCGGAGCAGAACUGGGUGGGCUCCAGUAAGCGGCCCUUUGGGCUCCCCGUGUGUGCAGCAAGAGGGAAUCCGGUGCUUUGUGUUUUCAGAAUAAACCACUGCUCCAUCCCCACGUUUGGGGAAUACGG